AGGUUUAAAAAAAAAAACAAAAAAAAUCCUCUGAAAAGGGAAAGGGAAGAAACCCUCUGGGCUUCAGCCUCCGAUAGACCAAGCUCCAGUCAUCGGGCACACGCACCCACGCGCCAUCGUCGAGCCCGCCGAUAACGACGGCCGGAAGCUAAAAAGCUACGAUUUUUAGCGCAAAUCCAACAGUAAACCCCCUUUCCUUUUAUUUUAAUGACAUUUGUAUAUGUUUGCAAAAAGAAGAGAAGGUACUAGCGAGAAAUCUGACGACGAUGGGGCGUUGAUUCGUGCGCAGAUUACGGUAGUCACGGCGUCGAUGAGGGGUCACUGAAACGGCGCGAGACAAAGGGGUGUGAUGUUUGGAGUUUGUGGCAUGAAGCUUCUGGAAGCCUUAUUAAUUUGGGUCUAGUUCGGGUUAAAGGGCAUUUAAGUGUAAUGGGCUACUGGCGUGAUUUGUAAAUGGACUGUAAAGGACUUUUUAUUAUUUUUGUUUUUAUUUA